AUUGAACGCUGGCGGCAGGCUUAACACAUGCAAGUCGAGCGAGGGAAGGUAGCUUGCUACCGGACCUAGCGGCGGACGGGUGAGUAAUGCUUAGGAAUCUGCCUAUUAGUGGGGGACAACAUCUCGAGAGGGAUGCUAAUACCGCAUACGUCCUACGGGAGAAAGCAGGGGAUCUUCGGACCUUGCGCUAAUAGAUGAGCCUAAGUCGGAUUAGCUAGUUGGUGGGGUAAAGGCCUACCAAGGCGACGAUCUGUAGCGGGUCUGAGAGGAUGAUCCGCCACACUGGGACUGAGACACGGCCCAGACUCCUACGGGCGGCAGCAGUGGGGAAUAUUGGACAAUGGGGGGAACCCUGAUCCAGCCAUGCCGCGUGUGUGAAGAAGGCCUUAUGGUUGUAAAGCACUUUAAGCGAGGAGGAGGCUACUCUAGUUAAUACCUAGGGAUAGUGGACGUUACUCGCAGAAUAAGCACCGGCUAACUCUGUGCCAGCAGCCGCGGUAA
rnacentral:rRNA from 1 species